AACCUCGUAACUCAAUAGGAUAGAGUAUCUGAUUGCGAAUCAGAAGAUAAAGGUUCAAAUCCUUUCGAGGUUA
rnacentral:tRNA from 1 species